AGACAGCCCUGAGAUCACCUAAAAAGCUGCUACCAAGACAGCCACCAAGAUCCUACCAAAAUGAAGCGCUUCCUCUUCCUCCUACUCACCAUCAGCCUCCUGGUUAUGGUACAGAGAGAAGCCUGGAUGUUCAGGAAUGCAAAGAAGACAGGACUCUCCCAUUUCAGAAACAACUGGAGUCUCAAAAGUGACUGCUAUUCCAGGAGGCAGCUUUGGUAGCAUCCCAGGUGCCCAGAGGGGAGUCAGUACAGCAGACUGGAGCCAUCAAGUUCUUGAUCAAGAACACCUUGAUCACCGUCAAAACCAGCUUAAUCUCCAUCAAGAACAGUUCUAGUUGCAGCUCCAUCAAGCAUUAAGGACAGCUUGAUCACCAUCUGGCCACUUCCCCACCCCAUAUCCAGCCACCCACGCUGUGCCAACUGCUUUCUCACUCAGCCCCGGCUCAUAUGACCUUCACAACUGUGAUGAACUUCUCCCCACUCAGAAGAGGAAACUGAGGCUCAGGGAAGCUAAGCCCUUUGCCAGGCUAGGAAGGUCAAGGGCUAGGGCUCCCCUGUCUCCCUCUAUGCCAGAAGGGCUGG
rnacentral:sRNA from 1 species